rnacentral:rRNA from 1 species
UACAGAGGUCUCGAGCGUUGUUCGGAUUCAUUGGGCGUAAAGGGUGCGUAGGUGGCAGGGUAAGUCGGAUGUGAAAUCCCGGGGCUCAACCCAGGAAGUGCUUUUGAUACUGUGUAGCUUGAAUGUGGGAGAGGAUAGUGGAAUUCCAGGUGUAGUGGUGAAAUACGUAGAUAUCUGGAGGAACACCGGUGGCGAAGGCGGCUAUCUGGCCCAACAUUGACACUGAAGCACGAAAGCGUGGGGAUCAAACAGG